rnacentral:rRNA from 1 species
AUACGAAGGGUGCAAGCGUUACUCGGAAUUACUGGGCGUAAAGCGUGCGUAGGUGGUUGUUUAAGUCUGUCGUGAAAGCCCUGGGCUCAACCUGGAAUGGCGAUGGAAACUGGGCGACUAGAGUGUGGCAGAGGGUAGUGGAAUUCCUGGUGUAGCAGUGAAAUGCGUAGAGAUCAGGAGGAACAUCCGUGGCGAAGGCGACUGCCUGGGCCAACACUGACACUGAGGCACGAAAGCGUGGGGAGCAAACAGGAUUAGAUACCCUGGUAGUCCACGCCCUAAACGAUGCGAACUGGAUGUUGGGUGCAAUUUGGCACGCAGUAUCGAAGCUAACGCGUUAAGUUCGCCGCCUGGGGAGUACGGUCGCAAGACUGAAACUCAAAGGAAUUGACGGGG